UGUGUUUGUGUAUGUGGGCAGGCGCGGAUUAAUGCACAGGCUUGCGUAGGCUGCAGCCUAGGGGCCCCACGUGUGCAGGGGUCCCGGAUUGGCCAGACAAUUUAUUAUUAUUUUAAAUUUACUUCAGCGCGAA